UACGGGGGGGGGCAAGCGUUGUUCGGAAUUACUGGGGCGUAAAGGGCUCGUAGGCGGCCAACUAAGUCAGACGUGAAAUCCCUCGGCUUAACCGGGGAACUGCGUCUGAUACUGGAUGGCUUGAAUCUGGGAGAGGGAUGCGGAAUUCCAGGUGUAGCGGUGAAAUGCGUAGAUAUCUGGAGGAACACCGGUGGCGAAGGCGGCAUCCUGGACCGGAUUGACGCUGAGGCGCGAAAGCCAGGGGAGCAAACGGG
rnacentral:rRNA from 1 species